rnacentral:lncRNA from 1 species
GGAAAUUCUUUCUUGUUUUGAGAGUCCAUUGACUAAAUUUGAGUUUCAAGUUGGCGGUGAAGGAGUUUUCUGGUGGUCGUGAUCUCCAUAGACAGUUCGUUGCUCCAUUUUACUGCCCUUAAAGAGGUAAAUACACUCCGUUUACCUCCUAAUUUGAUCGCUUUUCUCCUUUGCCUCUUUUCUGCGUAGCUGAUGUUAUUGUAAUCAUGACAUCAUUUUGUUAGGAAUAGUUUGAUGUAGUCAUAGUUGUAAUGUGGUUUUGCUAAGAGCAGCCUCUAUAGCCCUCAUAGAAAAUUCUAAUUGUUCUGGGUUGUUUCCUGGUAGAUGGCUUUCACAGCCGUAGGAAUUAGUCAAAGAUGAUUGUGUUUGUGUUUUCGCUAGAGCGAGGCCCAUGCUACCAUGUCGUUCUGUUAUCUAUUCUGUAUUUUUGACUUUGCUGUUUUGAAUUCUUAUUCUCUCAUUACUGUCAUUGGUUCGUUGCUAAUCUCAUUUUUAGUAUUUUUUGCCUUUUGUAUGAUUGAUUUGUGUGCACAAUAUAUGUCGUUGUGAGUUUGUUACCAUUUUUCCUGUAACUGAAUCUGUUUAAUCACACAAUUGUAGUUUCUUUUUGUGGUGUAUUGUUUUUUUUACUUAACCGUACGUUUAAUAUGUUAGUCUCUCAAUGCAUGUUUCGUGUCUAUCUUUUGAAAUUACUGGAAUGUUAGUUUUCAUGCUAGUCAUCACCUUAUCAUUUUCAUAUCUGAGUAUAUUAAUCUGAUUUGUUGAACCUUAGUCGUUUAGUUUGUGUUCGGGACCUUAGUAUUAUGUCGUGGGUAAUUUUUACUCUCUCGAGUUUGUCUCUCAAAUUUUUGCAGUUGACAAGAAACAUCCUCUAAAGCUCCUAUUGACAAAAAAAUGUCAAGAAAGGGCAAGAGGAUAUGUUAUAUUGAUUUUAAAUCGUCCCACGACCCUUCAAGGACUCAUAUCGACCCUCAAAGUUUUGUACAAACUUGUCGAGAGAAAGCUAGGAUGAAUCAGGUGUCAUGUUGAAUCUUGAAAGUUCGUUUUUAGUGUAUCUUCGUAGGUGGGUGAAAUCUAUGUUAAGAUUUUUAAAGUAAUUGUUUGGAUUGUUUCAUUUACUCCUAUUUGAUUCUAAUCGCGCACCACCACGUUCUGAUUGUGAAUAUGUGACCCACACAUUAUUACUUUUCAUGACUUUGAUGGAAUUUGAUUCUUGUUUCAAGAUCUGUCCAGCUAGAGUUAAUAUUUGGUGUAGUUGCAUACUAGCAUUGAUAAAGGGAAAUCUGGAGUGUGAAUUUUUUGGUACUUUAAGGGGAUGGUCUUUUUCUUUUAUGGGUCGCAACCAUGCGUAGUAAAAAAGGGACUGGAGUCUGGAUUUGAUCACGAAUAGAAUCUUGCCCGUUGUAUUAUUAUUACUAUUGUUAUGAUUGUUUUAUUCCUACUAUUCUAGCUUAGAGAGUAGAUUAACUGCCUUUCAUUGAAUAAGCUGGAUCAUUUUCAUAUCAUUACUUGCUAUUGUCUGGACGUGUGAGAAUGCUCUUUUAAUGAUGUUAUUUACCUUUAAGUAUCUAUCUUUGAACACUUAUUAAUUACUUCGCCUUUCUUUUGCAUGUGGACUCCUUUUCCUUUGCAUGUCUAUUAUGGACCAUUGAGGCCUAAUAACCCUGAGUUGAUUCCGAAGGAAAAUCUCAAGUCGGUUACAUAGCAUAUGGAUACGAAGAUCAACGGAAGAAGAAUGGGUUGAAAUCCCAUAUUCGAAGUGGCUAAGAGACUUAAAAGUCUUAUAUAUUUGCAUAGUUAUUCAGCAUUGCCUUUAUGCAUUCAUUUCUUUGUUGUCUUGUUUCUUUAUUUUAUUCAUUCGGGCCACGAUGCCAAAGUUAUAUUUAAUACAGGUGGAAAAAGAUUCAAGCCGAAGGCUAAAAAAUGUAGAUUAGGACAGGUAGAAGACGGGUCAAAAACCCAAUAUCUAGAUUAGGACCGGGUGACGGAUUUGUGCAUGAAGGCCCAAAUCAUUUAUUUUUUCCUCUCUUUCCCCCUUAUUGUAUUUGCUUUCUUGUUUGAAUCUAGUUAGAUCCUUAGCUAAGUCGCUAAAAAUUUUUGAUUUUGCGAAAACCUUCAAAAUAUUCUUUAAUCAAAUCACUUUUCAACAAAUUGAUUUUUCAAUGUUGGUCAAAAACGAUUUUCAAACAGAUUGGAUAAACGCAAGUUAACGGAUGUUUUAGGUGCCUAACACCUUUCUAAAACGUCAAUAGGAACCACUUACCUGAAAUCUCUUAACUUAAACAAUUUUUCUGUUUUGAAUCGUUUAAGUAUUUUACAAAAGGUUUCUUAAUUUCUUUUCAAAAUUAAGUGGCGACUUUUUAAAAAGUCAAAAUUUCAUCAAAACACUCUCUAUUCUCUCUACUCUUCUUCUUUAUUCUUUAUUAGUUUAUAACAUGUUAUCAGCACGAGACUCUACCAAACAAGGUGAGAUUAUAAAUCUAAAGAUAAUUUUAAGGUUAGUGAUUCUUAUGUUAUUUGUCUUUGGCUACCAAUGAUAUAAUUAUUGUUGGAUUUGAGGAAAAAUAAUUGGUGCCUUCAAUUUGUUCAUGAGGAACAAUGUUGCUAAAAAAUAUGAUGAUUAAUUUAAAUCUUAUUUCAUUAAGAGGGUAAGACAUUGGGUUAAAAAUUUCAAUGCACUAUGAUGAUAAGAUGUUGGUUUCAAUUCCAAUCGAGUUAUGCCUAAGAUGGCUUUAUACGGAUAAGAUCUUGAAAUUGAAUUUCAAUGCACAAUAUUAAUGAUAUUAUGAUGGUUAAGGUAAAAAUAAUAUAUAUAUGAUAAAAAGUCAUGAAACUUGUCCAUUGAAUAUGCUCCAUUCCAUUAAGUGAAUGUGAUAGUAAUAUAUGAUAAGUCUGAAAGAUGACAAUUUGCUCAAUUCUUGAAGAGAAUGUGGUAGCACUAUAUGAUAUAUGCUUUGAUAGAUAUAUAUGCCUCGAUGUGCUCCUGAUGUAGUAAUAUUAUGAAAGAGGUUAUAAGCCAUCAAAAUUUGAAAGGCUUAAAGCACGAUUAUAUUUCAUUCCUGGGAAUGAAAAGUUUAUUAAUGCAAACGUGCACUUGAUUGUGAUGGCAUCACAACUCACCUUCGAAAGAGGCUGAAUAAUUGAGAAGGGUUAUUUUGAAUAUUUUGAAACCUACUUCUAAAGUAGUAAAUUUGAAAUUUAUUCAAGUCAUAAUAAAUCUGAAAUUUACUGAAACAAAAAGCACAUAUCAUGGUAAACUUGGAGUUUACUAGAAUAAAUAUUCAUAAAUUGACAUGAACGAUUGCGACAUUCCAAAGAUAUGCAUACUGAGUAUUGAACAUAUAUUGAAGAAUUAGAAAAUUCUUCAUUACUUUUAAUGCUUCUUAUUCUUAUGAUAAGUUGGUUGGACUAUGAUACGGGACAAAUGACCAUCUUAUCUUUUGAUGACAUCUUUGGAGGCCAACACAUAGAGGCUCAAGACUUGGUCACCUUGAGGAUACGAGAACAUUCUUAGAGGACCUGUUUCUAGCCAACCAUUAGGCCUACCAUAAAUCAAGGCCGUGAGUGAAAGAUUGCUUGGAGCAUUGAAGACUUGAGAACUCACGACUUUGGACAUUUAAUGGCUCACAAUUUUGGGUCAUCUUUAUUGAGGACAUUUUGGUCACUUUACUUUGCCCAAAAUGCACUCCAUGGUCGCCCCUGUCAUUAAGGGUUGUGUAGUCAUUUUGUCUCCUUUUGUAAUAUACUACAAAUAGGAUAUUUUAGGUCUUCUCUUAGUAGUUGUUUAUUGAUGAAAAUGUGAGACAUUGAAAAUCCUCUCUCUUAAGAGUAGAAUACCUUAGUGUAGUUCUUAGUUAGGGCUUCGAUUAGCCAUUAUAGUUUAGGGCUUGGAAAAGUCAAUAUUGUUCUUUGCUUGAAAACGGUGGAUCUUGAGGUGAGUUGAUUUCCUUGGCGGUCACCGUAAGAGUGUGGUGUUGUUGUUACAUUCAUUAGGGGUUUUUGAGUUUAAUAUAAUCUUUAGUUUCUAAUCUUUGUAAUAAUCUAUGUCUCACUAUCUAUCUUUACCUUUCUUAGAAUUGUGUUAGUGUUUGUAUCUUAUAAUCAUUUGUUCUUGUUG